GUCUCAGAGGGAACACAGAGCCACAUGAACUGGGGACAUGGACUUGUGUCCCAGGAACAUCCACACUUGGGUGGGUCACAGGUAGACAUCUUUGUCUUCCACUUGCCCAGUUCAGGACCUGUUAGAAACUGAGCGGUAGGGGCUAUGUUGGAGCCCAGAGCUUAUGACCUGUGGUAUGUGUGACAUACAAACCCCUGUAUGUCUCUCUUGCCUGAUCCUGGGAUCCAGCCUUACCUGUCUGGCUGCAGAACCUUGUCUCUCAUUCCACAAAACCAGACUUUCUUUCCUCACAGAGGCAGAUGGAGAAACCCUCAGCCCAGCAAGGGCCAGAAGAGACUUCAAAAUGGAAACAGCAGCAGAUGUGUGGUGGCCCAGAGCCAAACACAUUCUUUCUCCACACAGUGGAAACCAGAUCCAAAUCACCACUCUCCCUAUAUAGAGACAACCCCAAGUCCCCGAAACAUCUUGAGGAAACAACGGCAGUUUCUGCACUGUCUCCUGUGAGAUCGAGGGCUGUCACUCUGAGCGACUUAUGUUUGGUCUGGUCCUGUGUACAACUGUCCCAUUUCAGAGCCUCAGCUUAAGAGGCCACCAGUCCUCUCCAGCA
rnacentral:lncRNA from 1 species